rnacentral:lncRNA from 1 species
GGCGAAGACAAGGGAGAUCCGGCUACGUCCCUCCCCUAGGUCUCUGGAAGCUGAAGCCGCUGCAGCCAAGGCCUGGUUUCAUUCUGGCUGGGGGCUGAGGGCUGGAGUUGGACAGCUGGCCUCUCUGCGGUUCCCCCAUUAUGGCUUGGCAUCAGCAUCUAGAUUGCAGGAUUGAUGGAGCCAGAAACCUCCUGCAGGGGCCCCCAGAGGUUCUUGCAUCCAGUGUGGCAUCCAGACAGUGUGUGGUUAAUGAGUCCGAAGAAAGGACCAGCGUCGUGGAGGAGUCCGGCAGCCCUGCAGGAGCACCUGGAGCACCUGGCUGUGGAGGGGCUUCUGGAAGGAAGCACAGGAGCAGAGGAAGGAGAAGGAGUUCAAAUGCCCGUACCUCCCGGGAGUUCCCAUCGUGGCGCAGUGGAAACGAAUCCAACUAGGAACCAUAAAGUUGCAGGUUCAUCAUUUUCUGGGACCAGAGUCCAGUCUCCUGAAUUCUAGCUCUUCUUGGGAACAGCAGGUAGAAGGAGUGAAUCCUACAGGACUCCCAGGACAGCCCUUCUGCUCUUUCAGGGCAGUCACCUUGUCCACACCCCACCUUAUCAUCUUGGGGCUACACCUGCCAGGCCUCCUUACGCUGCCGCUUUAGAGUCCCCACACAACCUCAGCUCUGACAAGAAUUGAUUACGCUUCCGGUCUGAUGGCAGCGCCCCUGGUUUCCAGGGAGUUCCGAGUCUGGGAGAUAGUCUUCUGACAACCAAAACAAUGAAUAGCAAAAUUGCACGGGCAUUUGGGACUGUUGGAUGUCCAGCUGGCACACUUGCUGGUCUAGAAAUGUCCUCAGAGGUGAGUGGGUUUAGUCAAGCCGACCAGAGAGAAGAAUUUUUUAAUUCUAAAACAGCUGUCCUUAUAAAAUAAAAAUAAAUAAAAUAAAACA